GCGGGGCCUCGGACCCCGCCCUCCGCCUUCCCCGGGAUUCCGUGCUGUGCGGGCCGGGCGCUGGCGUUGGAUUGAGUUCUGUGAGUUGACUGGGCAUUCUGCAUCACAAGGUGUGGCUGGGCACUGGAACAGCCGAAGUCACCUGGGAGCUGACUGGGUUGGACUGUCCAGGAUGGUUCACUCCUACGACAGUGGAUGCUCAACUGGGGCUGUCAACUGGAGCCCCCAUAGGUAACAUCUCCCAGCAUGGCAGCUCUGUUCCAAGAGGGAGUGCCGCAUGAGAAUCAGGAAGCAGCUGCAAGGUUCCUCAUGGUUUUGCCUUACAAGACACCCAGAGUUGUUUCAGCCUCAUUCUGUUUGUCAACAGGUCACUGUUUCAAGGAGGAGGGGAACUAGACUCCAGCUCUUGAUGAAAGCAGUGAUAAGGAAUUUGCAGUUCUAGUUGAUCUACUGCAGCUUUCAUGGUGUUUUUUCCAUAUACUGAUUAUAUAAUAGUAUUUGUCACCUUUUGCCAAGCGCCACGUAUUACAAUUAAGUGUCUCUUUAUCUCACAGGCUAGAUUUUCAACUUCUGGUGAGAGAUUGCAUUUUUUUUUUUUUUUUUUUUUUUGAGACAGAGUUUUGCUGUGUCACCCAGGCUAGAGUGCAGCGAUCUCGGCUCACUGCAACCUCCGCUCCCGGGUUCAAGCGAUUCUUCUGCCUCAGCCUCCCGGGUAACUGGGAUUACAGGUGCCUGCCACGCCCGGCUAAUUUUCGUAUUUUUAGUAGAGACAGGGUUUCACCAUCUUGGCCAGGCUGGUCUCGAACUCCUGACCUCAUGAUCCACCCACCUUGGCCUCCCAAAGUGCUGGGAUUACAGGUGUGAGCCACUGCGCCCGGCCGAGAGAUUGCAUUUUAUUUAACCCAAUUCUUUCAGUGACAUAGCUAUAAUAACAAUAAAGAUGUAUUAAGUUCCUCUACCAUGUGUUUGAUCCCAUCUAAUUGAACACAUGAUCUUAUCUCAUCCCUACCCUGAUAGAAUAGACGUCUCAUUUUCCAGAUUGGGAACUGAGGCACAGAAAGAUUCAGCUUUGCCCAAAAACCACAUAAUGGACAAGUGGCAGAGCCAGGAUUUGAACCACUUAAGAGCCUGUGUUUUUAUUCUCUCUCUUCUAGUGCCAUCUCACAGUCUUGGCACCAUCUUAGUAGCUUCAGGCUGCUAUAAAAAGUUACCAUAGGCUGGAUGGCUUAAGCAACAGACAUUUAUUUCUCAUGCUUAUGGAGGCUGGGAAGUUCAGGAUCCAGGUGGAGGCUGACCCCAUGUCUUUCUGGGAGGUCCAGCUGCUCCUGGACCAGAUAGUGCCAACACAAUACUUCUCAUUGUGUUAUGAUUGCCUACAGCAGGUGAAGGCCUGCUUCCUGUUUUCCAGAUGGCCGUCUUCUCAUUGUAUCUUAACAUGGUGGAAGGAGAAUGAGAAAGCUCGCUUGUGUCUCUUUUUAUAAGGGCACUAAUCCAGACGCGGAGGGCUCACCUUUACAACAGCUAAACCUGAUCACCCCCCAGAGGCCCCAUCUCCAAAUACCAUCACAUUGGGGAUUGUGCUUUGACAUAUGAAUGUGGGAGGACACGAGCAUUCAGUCCAUAACAGGCACCAAGGCACCAAGUCAGUCUGCACAAGUGUGUCGCUGGGCAGAAGAACAAAAGAGAAGGAAGAAGAAAGAACACAGUACAGAAAGUGAGUGGCGGUACCACAAAGAGUCAUCAGCAAGUGCUGAUGGUGGCUCCGGCCAGCACAUUCCAAGCAUCCUUGGGUAGCCUGAUAAAUGGAGUGCAGAAUGUUCGGUAGCUCUGCAAGGAGUGGGAGUAUUUAUUGGGUCUGAGUGCUUGAUGCGAAACUUUCCUCCAAAGUUCCAAUUUUCUAUCCGCCAAGAUAAGUGAUGGAGGUUUAUGGUUCAUGUUGUAGCACAUCCACCCAGGCCAAGGACCUACAACUCUGAAUUUCUGGCCUGCCUCCUUCCAGCUAGAAGUGAAUCUAGAUUUACAUGCCAUCAGGAACAAGCAUCGUCUUCCUGUUCUGUGAGUUCCUAGUUGUAGUAGGUACUGCUUUCAUCCUGAGAAUAUCAAUCUACAUGCACAAGGUCCCUCUCUGUGGAGGAGUAGGUACUUAAACCCAAGAUAAGUGGAAACUUUAUAUCCAAGGAGACAGAAAAUAAAAUUUCAGUAUGUUUUAUAUUAAACAACUUAUUAUACUUCUAUCCUUUUAUGAACAUAAGGUCAUCAGUAGGCCAAAAGUCUGAAAACAGUCUCAGUUCCUCAAUGUGAAUGCAAACCAUUAGUGCAAAAAAAAAAAAAAAAUAGAUAAAAUUAAAAAAUGAAAGCACAGAUACUUUCUAGCCUUGCUGUCUUAUAGCCCCAUAUUCAUAGGACUGACCAUUCCCCAUCUAUACCCACACCUUUCCCAAAGGACACUAUCUGUGAAUGGUGGCCACGCGUUUGGAUGUUACAGAGCAAGCACGUUCUUCAUUACUUCACAGACACAAUUAUGCAGCCCACGUGCAUAGUGGAAGUCAGGAAAGCGUCUCCUGGUUGCCUGGUCAGCUGACAUUCUCGAUUCUUUAUAGUCAAUUGAGCCAGUCCUUAGCUCCUAGAAGAGUAAAACGAUACAUCCAUUUAUUAAAAGUACUACUUUAAGACAUUAGAAAGUCUGAAAUGUUGGAACUCUGCCAAGCAAUAGAGAAAUCCUGUGAUGGUUAAUUUUAGGUGUCAACUUGACUGGAUCAGGGGAUACACAGAUAGCUGGUAAAGCAUUAUUUCUGGGUGUGUCUGUGAGCGUGUUUCUGGAGGAGAUUGGCAUUUGAAGCAGUGGACUGAGUGAGGAAGAUCUGCCCUCACACAGUGUGGGUGGCACCAUCUAAUUGGCUGAUGGCCCAGAUAGAACAAAAAGGCAGAGGAGAGACAAUUUUUUUCUCUCUCUUCUGGAGCUGGGGCACCCUUCUUCUCCUGCUUUUGGAAGCAGAAUUCCCAAGUUCUUCAGCUUUUGGACUCCAGGAUCUGAACCGUUGCUUCCCUGGGUUCUCAGACCUGCUGUCUUGGACUGAGAGUAACACCAUCGGCUUCCCUAAUUCUGAGGCCUUCAGCUGGGACUGAGCCACACUACCAGCUGCCCUGGGUCUCCAGCUUGCAAAUGCCUGGCAUGGGACUUCUCAGUUUCCAAAUUGUGUGAGCUGAUUCCCCUAAUCAAUCCCCUCUCAUCUCUGUCUAUCCAUCCAUCCAUCUAUGUUUUGUCUCUCUGGAAAACCCUGUCUAAUAUAAAUCCAUUCUGAAAAUACCAGGUACAGUCAUGUACUACGUAAUAAUGUUUCGGUCAACAACGAACCACAUAUAUGAUGAUGGUCCCGUAAGAUUACCCUAUUUUUACUAUACCUUUUUAUUUAAUAUUUAGAUAUGUUUAGGUACACAAAUACUUCCCAUUGUGUUAUGAUUGCCUAAAGUUUUCAGUUCAAUCACGUGCUAUACAGGUUUGGAGCCUAGGAGCAAUAGGCCACACCAUAUAGCAUAGGUGUGUAGUAGGCUAUACCAUGUAGGUUGGGUAAGUACACUUUGAUGCUCAGAAAAUGGUGAAAUCACCUAAGGAUGCAUUUCUCAGAAUGUAUCCUUGUUAAGUGACACAUGAGUGUGCUUAUGUGUGUAAGGUCAAUAAAAAAUGUCACAGGGGCUUUAUCAAAGGCAGCAUUAUUUUAUAUGGACUAUGGGUCCUAUUGAAUAUUUUUGUCCUCUUCCUUGCCCACCACCCACCCCCAUAAACAUUACCCACAUUGCAGCCAGGGCAAACAUUUAGAAAUUGAAAUCUGAUUUAUGAUCCCUUGUUAAGACAUCCCAAUAAAAGGCUUUUCAGGCUGGGAUUGGUGGCUCAUGCCUGUAAUCCCAGCACUUUGGGAGAAUGAAGCAGGUGAAUUGCUUGAGCCCAGAAGUUUGAGACCAGCCUGAGCAACAAAUUGAGACCCCCAUCGCUACCAAAAAAAAA
rnacentral:lncRNA from 1 species